rnacentral:rRNA from 1 species
CGAGCGACGCAUUCCCGGUUCGUAAGAACUGGGUCUGACGGAGCGGCGAACGGGUGAGUAACACGUGAGCAACCUGCCCCGAAGACCGAGGAUAGCCCAGGGAAACCUGGAUUAAUACCGGAUACCCUCUCUAGACCACAUGGUCAUGAGAGGAAAAGCCUUUGUGCUUUGGGAUGGGCUCGCGGCUUAUCAGCUAGUUGGUGGGGUAACGGCCUACCAAGGCAAUGACGAGUAGCUGGUCUGAGAGGACGAUCAGCCACACUGGAACUGAGACACGGCCCAGACUAAUACGGGAGGCAGCAGCAGGGAAUCUUGCGCAAUGGGCGAAAGCCUGACGCAGCGACACCGCGUGGGGGAUGAAGGCCUUCGGGUCGUAAACCCCUUUCAGGAGGGAAGAAAUUGACGGUACCUCCAGAAGAAGGACCGGCCAACUACGUGCCAGCAGCCGCGGUAAUACGUAGGGUCCUAGCGUUAUCCGGAAUCAUUGGGCGUAAAGAGCUCGUUAGGCGGUUCCAGCAAGU